UUUGAUCUCAAAUCAGGCGGGACUACCCGCUGAACUUAAGCAUAUCAAUAAGCGGAGGAAAAGAAACUAACAAGGAUUCCCCUAGUAACUGCGAGUGAAGCGGGAAAAGCUCAAAUUUGAAAUCUGGCGGUCUUUGGCCGUCCGAGUUGUAGUCUGGAGAAGCGCUUUCCGCGCCGGACCGUGUACAAGUCCUCUGGAACGGGGCGUCGUAGAGGGUGAGAAUCCCGUCUUUGACACGGACAGCCGGUGCUAUGCGAUGCGCUCUCGAAGAGUCGAGUUGUUUGGGAAUGCAGCUCAAAACGGGUGGUGAAUUCCAUCU
rnacentral:rRNA from 1 species